rnacentral:rRNA from 1 species
GGCGUGAGAGCGCGGACCCCCACACUGGCACUGCGACACGGGGCCAGACUCCUACGGGAGGCAGCAGUAAGGAAUAUUGCGCAAUGGACGAAAGUCAGACGCAGCGACGCCGCGUGGGCGAUGAAGGCCUUCGGGUUGUAAAGCCCUUUUAUGGGGGAAGAGAAAAAGGACGGUACCCCAUGAAUAAGUCCCGGCUAACUACGUGCCAGCAGCCGCGGUAAAACGUAGGGGACAAGCGUUAUCCGGAUUCACUGGGCGUAAAGAGCGUUGAGGCGGUUCCGUAAGUUGGGCGUGAAAGCUCCGGGCUUAACCCGGAGAUGUCGUUCAAUACUGCGGGGCUUGAGGACAGCAGAGGAAGGUGGAAUUCCCGAUGUAGUGGUGAAAUGCGUAGAUAUCGGGAGGAACAACCCGUGGCGAAGGCGGCCUUCUGGGCUGUUCCUGACGCUGAAGGCGAAAGCUAGGGGAGCGAACGGGAUUAGAUACCCCGGUAGUCCUAGCUGUAAACGAUGGAUGCUGGGUGUGGGGGGUGUAAAUUCCCUCUGUGCCGAAGCAAACGCGUUAAGCAUCCCGCCUGGGGACUACGGCCGCAAGGCUAAAACUCAAACGAAUUGACGGGGGCCCGCACAAGCAGCGGAGCGUGUGGUUUAAUUCGAUGCUACACGAAGAACCUUACCUGGGUUUGACAUGCACGUGGUAGGGAACCGAAAGGGGACCGACCUUCGGGAGCGUGCACAGGUGCUGCAUGGCUGUCGUCAGCUCGUGCCGUGAGGUGUCGGGUUAAGUCCCGUAACGAGCGCAACCCUUGCCCUUAGUUACAAGUGUCUAAGGGGACUGCCCGGGACAACUGGGAGGAAGGUGGGGAUGACGUCAAGUCAGCAUGGCCUUUAUAUCCAGGGCUACACACACGCUACAAUGGCCAGUACAAUAGGUAGCCAAGUCGUGAGACGGAGCCAAUCCUUAAAGCUGGUCUCAGUUCGAAUUGCAGUCUGCAACUCGACUGCAUGAAGCUGGAGUUGCUAGUAAUCGCAGGUCAGCCAUACUGCGGUGAUACGUUCCCGGGCCUUGUACA